GCUGACACAUCCCGGCCAAUCUCCAGCAGACCCUCCCUCCCAGACCCUCCCACCUCCUGGACAGCAUCCAUGUUGAAGGCAGCUUCAACAUGGAUGCUGACCAGGAGGUGGGAGGGUCUGGGAGGGAGGGUCUGCUGAAGAUUGGCCGGGAUGUGUCAG
rnacentral:miRNA from 1 species